UAGGCGCAGCACCAUUAAGAUU
rnacentral:siRNA from 1 species